CCGCAGAGUACUUCUGUUCCUCAUGCUACUGCUCCACUGUAUGAAAACAAAUCACUCAAUUCAGAUGGAAGUUUUGACUUAUCUGAUGAUGUCUGGCUUACUGUGUCUGAGAUCCCUCUAUUUACGCAGCCUACGAGUGCUCCCCCACCUUCCAGACCUCCACCGCCCAGACCUACACGUCCCAUGAAAAGAAGGGAAGGAGAGAGAGUUAUUUUCGAUUUCUAAUAUUGGAGAGAGACCCACCCAUCAUACUCAGAUCUGACGACGAUAAUCUGUUGGAUCUGCGAUUUGGGGGUGUGAAAAAUCCAAUUCCAAGUAAUCGAUGGACGAUUUCUCAGGCCUUUUAGGUUUGAAGCCGCAGGGAAAAUCAGCUCCGAUGGCGCCGUCUUCGUCGUCCCCAGCAAGGAACAAGUCCGAUUCAUCGCCUCUCUUCGACGAUCUGAGCGGUGGCGACGAUCUCCUCUUCAGCGAUUCGCGAUCUCAGACUAAGCCCUCUGAUUUUGACUACGAUGCGAUGUUCAAGGAUCCCAAACCUGUGUACGACAAGCCUGUGUACGACGAGGAGGACGUCUUCGAAUCGCUUAAAACCCCGCCGGGCUCUCAAUCGGCUAGGUUUGAUGACCUUUUCUCCUCGCAUUCGGUGCACAGGAAGAACAACUCCUCUCCUUUCGAUGACCUGAUUGGGAAUCUGAGCAAGCCGGAGAGAAAACGAGAUGAGAAAGGUAGCUCGGCUUUUGAUGACUUGAUUCCUGGGUUUGGUCGCGCUAGCUCCCCUCCAGCUAAACGGUAGCGUUUCGUUCCUCUUCUUUUAUGUGCUUGUCUAGAGCUAUUUGCUACUGAGAUUCUCCAGUGAAUUGUAGCUUUAACCUACUUGGAGCGAACUUGCAGAUAUCGUAGAAAAUUUUACUAAAGGUUGAACCUUUUGAAUUUUUGAUAGUAAAAGUAGUCAUUCAUAUUGUUUUUCUUUUUUUUGCUCAGGCCAACUUCAGAAACGAGUCAUUCUCAGAAGCCUCCGUAUAGGACAUCUUCCAAUCUUGCAGAAGAUCCAUUUGUGGUCUUGGAGACUGCUUCUACCCCUAGAGAACCUCCUCCCUCAGGAGGGUACACUGAUCCUUUGGAUGAUAUUGGUCUUUUCAACAGCAGAAAGACUGAUCAUUCUUUUGCUGAUAUUGACCCUCUCGAUAGUCUUGGAAAAUCAGGGCCAGAUAUGAGUAGUAGAGACAAAAGUCACCUGAGACCAGGCAACGGCAGUGGCUCUCAGUCACCGGUGGAGAGUUCCCACACUGGGAGUUACCAUGGUAAGAAAGUUUCUUUCGAUGAAGUCUUGGAGCCGCAGAGUACUUCUGUUCCUCAUGCUACUGCUCCACUGUAUGAAAACAAAUCACUCAAUUCAGAUGGAAGUUUUGACUUAUCUGAUGAUGUCUGGCUUACUGUGUCUGAGAUCCCUCUAUUUACGCAGCCUACGAGUGCUCCCCCACCUUCCAGACCUCCACCGCCCAGACCUACACGUCCCAUGAAAAAGAAGGCUAACGAGCCUCACUCACAUGUUCGUACCUCAGCUAGAGCUUCUGUAAAUAGCCCUACAGCAUCUCAAAUGGAUGACCUUGACGAUUUUUCUAUGGGCAAAAAUCACACUGCUGC
rnacentral:lncRNA from 1 species